AAAAAAAUGUAAAGUACAUGUUGUUGAGCUCUCCACAUAACCAUAUGUUCCAGAGCCCCUUCCAACAUCAGCACAGUCAUCCACAUCCUGUACCUGCCCGAGGAUGCCAAAGGGGAGCACGUGCAGUUCCAGUGGAAGCAGGAGGACCUCCAGGUGGGGGAAGUGUACGAAGCCUGCUGGGCCCUGGACAACAUCCUGGUCAUCAAUGCAGCCCACAAACAAGUCAUUUUAGAAGACAGUCUCAACCCAAUGGACACGGGCAAUUGGCUCUUCUUCCCUGGAGCAACAGUUAAGCAUAGCUGUCAGUCAGAUGGAAACUCCAUUUAUUUCCAUGGAAAUCAAGGCAGCGAGUUCAAUUUUGCCACCACCCGGGAUGUAGAUCUUUCUACAGAGGAUAUUCAAGAGCAGUGGUCAGAAGAAUUUGAGAGCCAGCCUACAGGAUGGGACAUCUCGGGAGCUGUCAUUGGUACAGAAUGUGGAACAAUAGAAUCAGGUUUAUCAAUGGUCUUCCUCAAAGAUGGAGAGAGGAAAUUAUGCACUCCAUACAUGGACACUACUGGUUAUGGGAACCUGCGGUUCUACUUUGUUAUGGGAGGAAUUUGUGACCCCGGAAACUCACAUGAAAAUGAUGUCUCCUUGUAUGCAAAGAUUGAGGGGAGAAAAGAACACAUUGCUCUGGAUACCCUUUCCUAUUCCUCAUAUAAGGUUCCAUCUUUGGUUUCUGUGGUCAUCAGUCCUGAACUUCAGACCCCAGCUACUAAAUUUUGUCUCAGGCAAAAGAACCAUCAAGGACAUAAUAGGAAUGUCUGGGCCAUAGACUUUUUCCAUGUCCUGCCUGUUCUCCCUUCGACAAUGUCUCACAUGAUACAGUUCUCUAUUAAUCUGGGGUGUGGAACACAUCAACCUGGUAACAGUGUCAGCUUAGAGUUUUCCACCAACCACGGACGAUCCUGGUCCCUCCUGCACACCGAGUGCUUGCCUGAAAUCUGUGCCGGUCCCCACCUUCCCCACAGCACCAUCUACUCCUCGGAAAACUACAGUGGGUGGAACCGAAUAACGAUUCCCCUCCCUAAUGCAGCACUAACCCGAGACACCAGGAUUCGCUGGAGACAAAUGGGACCAAUCCUUGGAAACAUGUGGGCAAUUGAUAACGGUUAGUGUUUCUGCCUGUCAUAAUCACAUGCCAUUGAUGUAGAGCCUUCCUGUGCUUUUGUUUGUCAGCACAGACUUAAUCGCAUUCCCAAGUCAUGGUCUUGCAAUUCAUUAAACGUCCUUUCUUCCUUUUCUCCUUUGCAUUCCAUAAG
ensembl:lincRNA